CAGUCGUACCGGCGGAUAAUCAGCCUUUCGGGUGCGAUUCUGUGGGGCGUGAGGAGCUUAACCGCCUUCAUGUUUUGCAUAUUCGUGCACAUUUGGUGUACUUGUCCGUGUGGUGGGUUAACAUCAAUUUUGGUGAUCAUAAAAUGACUAGAGAAUGUAGCUUCGAUCUCGUAUUGAAGUGUUAUAGCCUUUGGAGAUGUGAUGA
rnacentral:rRNA from 1 species